rnacentral:rRNA from 1 species
UGGUGGAGUGAUUUGUCUGGUUAAUUCCGUUAACGAACGAGACCCCCGCCUGCUAACUAGCUGACAUAAUGCUUUAGUCAUUGUGUGCAGAUACUUCUUAGAGGGACUUUCGGUGACUAACCGAAGGAAGUUGGGGGGCGAAUAACA